CGAACGAAGCACCUGAGAAUGAUUCUUCGGAUGAAGUCUCUUGUGACUGAGUGGCGGACGGGUGAGUAACGCGUGGGUAACCUGCCUCACACAGGGGGAUAACAGUUGGAAACGACCGCUAAUACCGCAUAACCCGCUGGUGCCGCAUGGCACUGACGGAAAAGAUUUAUCGGUGUGAGAUGGACCCGCGUCUGAUUAGCCAGUUGGCAGGGUAACGGCCUACCAAAGCGACGACCAGUAGCCGGCCUGAGAGGGUGAACGGCCACAUUGGGACUGAGACACGGCCCAGACUCCUGCGGGAGGCAGCAGUGGGGAAUAUUGCACAAUGGGGGAAACCCUGAUGCAGCGACGCCGCGUGAGUGAAGAAGUAUUUCGGUAUGUAAAGCUCUAUCAGCAGGGAAGAAAAUGACGGUACCUGAUUAAGAAGCCCCGGCUAACUACGUGCCAGCAGCCGCGGUAAUACGUAGGGGGCAAGCGUUAUCCGGAUUUACUGGGUGUAAAGGGAGCGUAGACGGUGAUGCAAGUCAGAAGUGAAAGCCCGGGGCUCAACUCCGGGACUGCUUUUGAAACUGUGUGACUGGAGUGCAGGAGAGGUAAGCGGAAUUCCUGGUGUAGCGGUGAAAUGCGUAGAUAUCAAGAGGAACAUUCAUGGCGAAGGCGGCUUACUGGAUUUAAAUGGCGUUGAGGCUCGAAAGGGGGGGGAGCAAACAGGAUUAGAUACCCUGGUAGUCCACGCCGUAAACGAAGAAUAUUAGGUGUCGGGGGAGCAAAGCUUUUCGGUGCCGCAGCAAACGCAUUAAAUAUUUCCACCUGGGGAGUACGUUCGCAAGAAUGAAACUCAAAGGAAUUGACGGGGACCCGCACAAGCGGUGGAGCAUGUGGUUUAAUUCGAAGCAACGCGAAGAACCUUACCAGGUCUUGACAUCCCUCUGACCGGGAUUUAAUCAUCCCUUUCCUUCGGGACAGAGGAGACAGGUGGUGCAUGGUUGUCGUCAGCUCGUGUCGUGAGAUGUUGGGUUAAGUCCCGCAACGAGCGCAACCCUUACCUUCAGUAGCCAGCGGUUCGGCCGGGCACUCUGGAGGGACUGCCAGGGACAACCUGGAGGAAGGUGGGGAUGACGUCAAAUCAUCAUGCCCCUUAUGAUCUGGGCUACACACGUGCUACAAUGGCGUAAACAAAGGGAAGCGAGACAGUGAUGGCAAGCAAAUCUCAGAAAUAACGUCUCAGUUCGGAUUGCAGUCUGCAACUCGACUGCAUGAAGCUGGAAUCGCUAGUAAUCGCGAAUCAG
rnacentral:rRNA from 1 species